GGCUUUAUAGUCAAUAAUGACAUUAGACUGCAAUUCUAAAGGAGUAAAAACAACUUACUAAGGCUU
rnacentral:tRNA from 1 species